UACAUAUUUUAUCCUACUAAAAUAUUCCUUUUUGUGGUAUGAUCAUAUUCCUUUCUCUCCAUAUGAGUGUAACUACCAUUGCAAACGUACAACUUAUCAUAGCACACUGCCCUGAUUUACUUUUAGCUUUCCUAUUCGCCCAAUCUAACUCUUCUUGCCAGCACCAAAUUGUUCUUUGCAGCCUCAGCCAUGUUAAUAAUCUUUUCCAUAAUUCCUUGGUUACAGGGCAUUCAAAGUAUAAAUGAUUCACUGACUCUGAGUUAGAGUUAUAGAAACCACAUUCUAGAAGGACGUGAAUACCAAUUCUCUGUAAUCUAUCAGCUGUUGCUAGUCUCUUCCAUGCUGCCAGCCAUAAUGUGAAUUUGUGCCUCGGAUGGAUAGUUUGGUAUAGAUUUAUGAACUUCCACUCCACCUUUUGAUAAUUUGGGAGCAAAGCUUUAUACAUCUUUUUGACGAAAAACUUCCCAUUUAUCACCAUUUGCCUCAGUCUAGCUGCCAGGCCUCCUUGCAGAGAACCAAUCUCUAUUAUGUGUUUUCUGGCUUUAAUGACUUUCCUCAGUACCCAAGUAGCCUUUAAAGGAAUAGGGCAGUUUUCAUCAGAGUACCCUUUCAUAUAAUAUUCAUUCAACCAUUUGUUCCACAAGCAUUCCUUAUUUUCAGCAACAGACUACAGUAAUUUUAAAAUAGCUGCACAAUUCCAAAUUUUCAUAUUAAUUAUGUGUUGUCCACCUACUGCUUUUGGAGUACAUAGUUUUUCCUAGGAAAUCAAAGAUUUUUUUGAGUUAGCAGUGGAUCCAGUCCAUAGAUAAGUUCGACAGACCUAUUCAACCAACUUCAUUCUCUUAGGCAGUACAAAAAUUUGAGCCCAGUAUGUUUGCACACCAAACAGGAUAGAAGCUUAGCAUACCAACACCUUAGUCUUUUAGUAAUUUUUUCAACACUUGGCAUACACUAUGCAACAGUUAAUUUCUUUGAGGAUAAUGGAACUCCCAAAUAUUUGAAAGGUAUCUCACCCUCCCAAAUAGGACAGACUUUAUCAACUGAGUUCUACCUACAUAGGAUAGAAGCUUAGCAUACCAACACCUCAGUCUUUCAGUAAUUUUUUCAAUACUUGGCAUAAACUAUGAAACAGUCAAUUUCUUUGAGGAUAAUGGAACUCCUAAAUAUUUGAAAGGUAUCUCACCAUCCUGUUAUCCUAAGGAUCUUAGUAUUUCUUUUUUUUACUUCAGUUUUGACCCCAGUCAUGUGUAUUGAGCUCUUGUUAGUGUUGGAUUGGAGACCAGUAGCAGCAGAAAACCUAUUAAAAGCAGCCUGAAGUAAUUGUAUGGAUGUCAUUUUUGUCUUACAAAACAUGAGCAAGUCAUCUGCAAAGCAUAUAUGCUCCACUCCUAAAUUCUUGCACCUGGAUGAUAUUUGAAUUCUGUAGUUUGGUCUAAUUGUACUAACUCUCUUUGCAGGUACUCUAUUUCCAAGACAAAUAGGUAAGGACACAUAGGGUCUCCUUGCCUUAUGCCUCUCUUACCCGCAAAAGGUUUUAUCAAUCCUCCAAAUAGAAUAAGAAAGUCUGAGACUGAUGAAAUACAUGCCAUUACCUAUUGUAUAAAUUUCCAAGGAAAUCCCAGAUCAGCCAACAUACUUUCCAAGAAGCUCCACUCAAUUGAAUCAUAGGCUUUCCUCAAGUUAAUUUUUAUCACACAUCUAGGGGAUAAUCCCUUCCUUGUGUACCAUUUUAAAACUUUAUAACUGAAGAGUAUGUUGUCAAUAAUACUUCUUCCUUCUACAAAAGUAGUUUGAGCAGGUCUUACAAUAUCUUCUAUCACUUAUUUAAACUUGUUUGUCAAAAUAUUAGUAAUGAUUUUGUAAACUGUUGUGCAACAUGAUAUAGGUUUGUAGUCCUUUACUUGAGUUGGGUUUGGGGUUUUGGGAACCAGUGUGACUACAGUGACACUGGAGGCUUUUAGGAUGACCCCGGUAUGGAAGAAUUCUUUGACAUCAUUAAUUGUAUCUUCUCUAACCAUAGCCCAGUGUUUCUGAAAAAACUCAGCAGGGAAAGCAUCUACUCCAGGUGUCUUAUCUGCUGGAAGUCCUUUAAUAGCCUGAACAAUUUCCUCUACUGUGAUUUCAUUCAUUAGUCUACAAUUUUAAGGGUAGGACAGGCAUGGUCUUACUUUAAUAAGUUCUGUAUUUGGGCAAGGUAAGCUCCCUGCUCUAGUUCCCAUUAACUCAGUAAAGAACUUUGUAAAUUCAUCCUCAACAAGCUUCGGUUCCU
rnacentral:lncRNA from 1 species